rnacentral:rRNA from 1 species
UACAGAGGGGGCAAGCGUUGUUCGGAAUUACUGGGCGUAAAGGGCGCGUAGGCGGCCUGUUAAGUCGAACGUGAAAUCCCUGGGCUCAACCCAGGAACUGCGUCCGAUACUGGCAGGCUUGAAUUCGGGAGAGGGAUGCGGAAUUCCAGGUGUAGCGGUGAAAUGCGUAGAGAUCGGGAAGAACAUCGGUGGCGAAGGCGCUCUACUGGACCACAACUGACACUCAGGGACGAAAGCUAGGGGAGCGAAUGGG